rnacentral:rRNA from 1 species
UACGGAGGGUGCGAGCGUUGUCCGGAAUCAUUGGGCGUAAAGGGCGCGUAGGUGGCCUGCUAAGCGUGCGGUGAAAGUCGGGGGCUCAACCCCCGAUCGGCCGUGCGAACUGGGAGGCUUGAGCACUGUAGAGGCAGGCGGAAUUCCGGGUGUAGCGGUGGAAUGCGUAGAGAUCCGGAAGAACACCGGUGGCGAAGGCGGCCUGCUGGGCAGUUUUGGCUGACACUGAGGCGCGGACAGCGUGGGGAGCAAACAGG